CAAUGUUAUACCCCACCUCAGGAUGCAAUUUCGAGAUACCUGGAGUAGUAGCCUACAGGAAACAGAUAUUUCUGUUGAGUUUACACAAAUCUGCAGCUUUCUUCUCCCAGGGGCCUAGACACAGCGGGGUAGAUAUUACAGGCUCUCUCCUCUGUGUAGGCUGACGUUCACGACAAAAGGCACAUUUUGAUAUGUAUUCUGCAAUGUCAGUGCUGAUUCCAG